rnacentral:rRNA from 1 species
UACGGAAGGCAGCAGUGGGGAAUAUUGCACAAUGGGCGAAAGCCUGAUGCAGCUAUGCCGCGUGUAUGAAGAAGGCCUUAGGGUUGUAAAGUACUUUCAUCGGGGAGGAAAAAACAAAACUAAUAAUUUUAUUUCUUGACGUUACCCGAAAAAGAAGCACCGGCUAACUCCGUGCCAGCAGCCGCGGUAAUACGGAGGGUGCUAGCGUUAAUCAGAAUUACUGGGCGUAAAGAGCACGUAGGUGGUUUUUUUAAAGUCAGAUGUGAAAUCCCUGGGCUUAACCUAGGAACUGCAUUUUGAAACUGAAAUACUAGAGUAUCGUAGAGGGAGGUAGAAUUCUAGGUGUAGCGGUGAAAUGCGUAGAUAUCUGGAGGAAUACCUGUGGCGAAAGCGGCCUCCUAAACGAAUACUGACACUGAGGGUGCGAAAGCGUGGGGAGCAAACAGGGAUUAGAUACCCGU